rnacentral:tRNA from 1 species
GGGUACUGGGCAGGUCUGGUGACAUUGCGUGAGACUGAAAAUCUCAAGAAUAAAGUUCGAUUCUUUGAGUACCCA